CAGUAGCGUAUAUUAAAGUUGUUGCAGUUAAAAAGCUCGUAGUUGGAUUUCUGGCGUGGCUCAGCUAACCCGGCACCCCGUGCUGCGUGUUGGUCCGAGUCUGCCAUCCUUCCAGAGACCGAUCAUACCCUUCACUGGGCCGUGAUCGUAAUCUGGGACUUUUACUUUGAAAAAAUUAGAGUGUUCAAAGCAGGCGAUACCGCUGUGAAUACAUUAGCAUGGAAUAAUAAUUUAGGACUUCGAUCCUAUUUUGUUGGUCUAGGGUCUAAGUAAUGAUUGUUAGGGAUAGUUGGGGGUGCUCGUAUUUAGCGGCCAGAGGUGAAAUUCUUGGAUUCGCUAAAGACGAACUUAUGCGAAAGCAUUCACCAAGGAUGUCUUCUUUAA
rnacentral:rRNA from 1 species